ACGAACGCUGGCGGCGUGCCUAAUACAUGCAAGUCGAACGCUUCUUUUUCCACCGGAGCUUGCUCCACCGGAAAAAGAGGAGUGGCGAACGGGUGAGUAACACGUGGGUAACCUGCCCAUCAGAAGGGGAUAACACUUGGAAACAGGUGCUAAUACCGUAUAACAAUCGAAACCGCAUGGUUUUGAUUUGAAAGGCGCUUUCGGGUGUCGCUGAUGGAUGGACCCGCGGUGCAUUAGCUAGUUGGUGAGGUAACGGCUCACCAAGGCGACGAUGCAUAGCCGACCUGAGAGGGUGAUCGGCCACAUUGGGACUGAGACACGGCCCAAACUCCUACGGGAGGCAGCAGUAGGGAAUCUUCGGCAAUGGACGAAAGUCUGACCGAGCAACGCCGCGUGAGUGAAGAAGGUUUUCGGAUCGUAAAACUCUGUUGUUAGAGAAGAACAAGGAUGAGAGUAACUGUUCAUCCCUUGACGGUAUCUAACCAGAAAGCCACGGCUAACUACGUGCCAGCAGCCGCGGUAAUACGUAGGUGGCAAGCGUUGUCCGGAUUUAUUGGGCGUAAAGCGAGCGCAGGCGGUUUCUUAAGUCUGAUGUGAAAGCCCCCGGCUCAACCGGGGAGGGUCAUUGGAAACUGGGAGACUUGAGUGCAGAAGAGGAGAGUGGAAUUCCAUGUGUAGCGGUGAAAUGCGUAGAUAUAUGGAGGAACACCAGUGGCGAAGGCGGCUCUCUGGUCUGUAACUGACGCUGAGGCUCGAAAGCGUGGGGAGCAAACAGGAUUAGAUACCCUGGUAGUCCACGCCGUAAACGAUGAGUGCUAAGUGUUGGAGGGUUUCCGCCCUUCAGUGCUGCAGCUAACGCAUUAAGCACUCCGCCGGGGGAGUACGACCGCAAGGUUGAAACUCAAAGGAAUUGACGGGGGCCCGCACAAGCGGUGGAGCAUGUGGUUUAAUUCGAUGCAACGCGAAGAACCUUACCAAGUCUUGACAUCCCUCUGACCGUUCCUUAACCGGAACUUUCCUUCGGGACAGGGGAGACAGGUGGUGCAUGGUUGUCGUCAGCUCGUGUCGUGAGAUGUUGGGUUAAGUCCCGCAACGAGCGCAACCCUUAUUGUUAGUUGCCAUCAUUUAGUUGGGCACUCUAGCAAGACUGCCGGUGACAAACCGGAGGAAGGUGGGGAUGACGUCAAAUCAUCAUGCCCCUUAUGACCUGGGCUACACACGUGCUACAAUGGGAAGUACAACGAGUCGCAAAGUCGCGAGGCUAAGCUAAUCUCUUAAAGCUUCUCUCAGUUCGGAUUGUAGGCUGCAACUCGCCUACAUGAAGCCGGAAUCGCUAGUAAUCGCGGAUCAGCACGCCGCGGUGAAUACGUUCCCGGGCCUUGUACACACCGCCCGUCACACCACGAGAGUUUGUAACACCCGAAGUCGGUGAGGUAACCUUUUGGAGCCAGCCGCCUAAGGUGGGAUAGAUGAUUGGGGUG
rnacentral:rRNA from 1 species